rnacentral:lncRNA from 1 species
AUAUAAAGUUUACUUUUAGAAAUGGAGCUGUAUGAGUCCUAUGAUUUCAUUUUAUAAGCUAUGUAUGAGUAUUACUUUCUUCGUUUUCCUAAUAUGAUGAGCUACGUUUAAGUAAGGAGUAAACCGAAAGAAAAGUGCUUUAAAGGUUAUCAUAAAUUCAGAAGCCUAAUAUAUAUAGCAUGGAAAUAAAAAUUAUUCAUUCUUUAACUGCUCCUGUUUCCAUUCUAUUUCCACUUACGUUAUCUAUCUAUAUCAUAUAAUCGAAUGUAUAUGAAUGAAAUAUCUGAAAAGGAUAAUAUUUCAUUAUUUUUUCAUUUCCCUCGACCAUACCGUAUAUUUUUCAAUGCAGUGCAUCCAGGAUCAUAUUAUUCACUGUACGCUACCCCUUUACUUUUUCUGAGGUUGUGGAUUCGAUUUAAGCGAGAUUUGUAGUUAUUUCUAGAGGGUCGAGUGAUCAGGUAACUGUUCUAUCAUAAAUGUAAUGGGCACAAAAGUACACAACAAAUAUAUUGGACAAGUGUUAACAUAAUUUCUAUGUUCCUGGUUAGUCUCACAAAUUAUUGAUUUAAUUAUAGAAGAAUUUACAUUCAAGAGUAGUUAACUUUAUUGUAGAACAGAAGUAGGGUAAAUGUAUUACAUAAUUCAAAUGUAUCUGCUGUUGCGUGUUUCUCAUCGGCAUCAGUAAUUAUGAAUAACUUUGGACGGCUUAAAUGAAAGACACACACGAAACUAAUAUCUUACCGUUUCAAAACAUAUCACAGGAAUGAAAGGAAAAAUGGUUUCAAAAGGUGUAUUUUAGAAUAGACAGAUGAAAAUUAAACCGAAUGUAAUGCUAGUAUGUAUAAAAACAUAAUCCCAUUUGCAGAUAGCAGAAUCAAUAUAAUAAACAACGGUGCUUAAUAAAUUAGAGAGAAUAUAAGUAAAAUAUAAAGCAACUACUAAUAGAGUCCCAAAGAGAAAACCGUAAAGCUAAUAUACAUGAAAUAUUUGUACUCUACAUAUUAAGAGUAAAGGGUCUGCUAUAUAUAGAAAAGUAAUAUAAAUUUAUAACAGUGGUCAUUAGAAAAUACUUAUAAUGAAUAAACAAAAACUUUUCUUCAUAUGUAUGGAAUUAAUAAGGUACGAUCUACAGACGAACAAGCGCAGAGAAAAUCAUUUAAAUAAGAACAAAGCAACAAAACCAUUAAGCAAAAAUACUUAAAGCAGAAUUCCAAUAAAUAUGAUGAUAAUGAUGAUCAGCGUUUGGCUAAAUUAUCUAAUCGGGAGGAAUAAUACAUUGGUCUUGGCUGGCAGUCAUCCAAGGGAUAGUGCCUCGAUCAAAACAUCAGUGUUUGUACAUUAAAUAGCCCAAAAGCUUAUUCUACAACUGCAUUAAAGAUAUUGGGUCGUCAGCUGAAAGUCUCUCAAACGUAAAAUGUCUCAAGUACAGUCGUAUUGGCCUGGUCUCUAUUCAUCUAGUGCUGCAAUGAUUAGAACGUGGUUUCAAACUGACUACACAAUUAUAAAGGAAUGUUACAACAGGAGUGUGUCUGGUAAAAUAAGGUACAUAAAUGUAUGCAUAUGAUAUGGAUAUAGGGAAACAUGCUCUCAAUCACAGAACAAAGGGUUCCAGAUAAAAAAAUCAAAUUGUGGAAAAGCAAUGGCUAUCUCAGUUGAACCUGGAAUGGAUCAUCAGGGCAACAGAAGACGCAUAUAUAUAUAUAUAUAUAUAUAUAUAUAUAUAUAUAUAUGUGUGUGUGUGUGUGUGUGUGUGUGUGUGUGUGUGUGUGUGUGUGUGUGUGUGUGUAGGAAGUUGAGCAAGAUAUAGCAAAAAGAUCAAUGAAUCAUCACAAGGAAAGUAGCAAUAAAGAGCGGGAAGAGAAAUAUUCUUGCAAAGUAGGAACGAAGCUUACUUCAACGUUUGAAUAAGAUAAGAAAUGCUGGGAGAAUGAGAUUACUGAGUUUGAGAGAAAUUGAAAGUGAAAAAGUAUGACAAGCAGUAAAGAAUCCAGAUAAACUAUUAGCAGAAAUCAAAGUUGGGAAUAUAACAGAUGCAAAUGACCUCAUAUAUUAUGUAGCCUCUGUUGCAGUUGCAAUUCCUGAAGUAGAGCAGAGAAAAAGGGUCAAAGUUCCAUACUAGAAAAGUAGACUUUAGAAUCAAGUUAAGCAGUUCAAUAUAAAUCCUUGAAGAAUAAAUACUAUAUUUGAAAAGAAGAUGGUGAAGGGCAUAAGGACGAGCUUCAAAGGAAGAACAACAUGAAAACAGAGAGAGAGAGAGAGAGAGAGAGAGAGAGAGAGAGAGAGAGAGAGAGAGAGAGAGAGAGAGAGAGAGUUAAAGACUUCUAAAGAAGUGAUAAGACAAAAAGUUAAGUAAAGUUGGGUAAAAAUACUAGAUACCAAUAAAGAAUAUAUCAAAAUCAGCAAAUCAGGUUCUUCAGAAACAAUAAAAGUUUUGCUGUAGCUGAAUAAUGAGAAUAAACAUCAGGAGGAUGAUAUACUGUUUACUAAGGUAGCAAGAAACUUUUGGGCAGAUAUUUGAAGCAAGGGAAUUUCAGCACAGCAGUGAAGCAAAUUGGUUACAUAUUGCAGAAAUGGUUGAGGGCUUUUCAAGCAGCUAGGACAUCGAUCGCAUUGCCUUAACGAGUCACUUCUUCUAGAUUACUAACUAGCUUUCCGAUAAAUCUAUUCUUAUCGAUACCUCUUUGCUAAAUGUUAUCAAUUCUGAUUUAAUCACUUUAUUCAGAACAUCUCUAACUACUGGUUAUUGAUGUUUGCCACCGUCAGCCUCUGCUUAAGAAAUUUGUUAACCUUUUUUCCUUAGUCUUUGCACAGUAACUUGCAAUAAUAAGCGAGACCUUAUCUUUGGUUCCUAUAUAAGUUGGUCAUACUAAUCACGAAUAUAUGUUAUAUCUAGCUGACCAAUUUGAGUGUAGACAUCUUACGCUAUUCAUCUUUCCUUGCUACAUACUUUACAUACGAGUUGAACGAUUUACUGUAGUUGAUCCUUGUAUACAAUGGCACACCUGAAAAAUAAAGUCAGUUCCUGUCAGAGAGUUUGAAACAUCUGUGCAGAUUGUCGAUGCUUUGCGCUUUACUUCUAUGCCUGCUACUUCCUGCAAACACGCUGUGCGUAGUUUGAAUCCCCCGCUAGUACUAAUAAUCGGAACGUUUGAAAGAAGUAGGCCUUAGUGCCUCGAUUAAUGUAUAGAAACACACUAUUAAAGGCACUGCUUUUCUCCUUUAUAUCUACUGACUAAUUGUCAGGGUGCAGGAAAAUCGCCCGUGUCUCGCAGUCUAAGUGUUUGAAGAAACUUCUAUUUUAUUCAUUUCUAAAAGAACACGAGAUGAAGAUACUUUAUAAUCAUCGACAGUGGUUACGAGUCAGGUUCGGUCGCUUUAAUAGCCACCGCAUCUUUGUUAAGGGACUUGAGAUCAUUGAGCAAGUAACCUUUCUUCCAGGCUGAGCUCAGGUCACGAACGUUUUUUCUAUUCUAAAUCCCAUAGAAAAUUUUCAUUUAUCAGUUUCAUUUAGAGCCUUUCACAGGUACAUGCUUAUACUACUUGUCUGAAAUAUUAUAUUCAUGAGCAUGCAGGAGAGAAGAAUGUGUGUCAGCCUUGAAAAUGAUUUGGUACUGUAGAUGGAAACCGAAGCAACGAUAUAUUUUAUCAUCUCGUUUAAGAGCGAUGAUUUCAUUCUUAUAGCAUUAUAGUAUUUAUGAUACUGCACUUUUUCCCCAAAAGACUAAUUUGUUGUGCGUAUAUGAAACGACAACAACAACAAUAAUAAUAUUUGGAAUGCUUUCAAAAAGCAUUUACGAGCCCCUUGACAACCAGAAUUUACUACCAUAAGAACAGAAAGGUUGUAGGAAGAAGGUUAGAGGAACGCAUGAUCUAUUAUAUAUAGGCAAAGCAGUCCUAACAGAAGUAAUGAAGUAAAAGCUAGAAAGAAAUGACAUGGUCCCACACUCAUGGAUAAGUGAAUGUUUGAGUAUAUUCAGUAUAGCAGACAAUAUAAGAGAAUUAAUUAGCUUUAGCAUAAAGUAAUGGAAAGAAGAUCUCUACUCAGGUGACUCACUCUUAAGGAAAGUUAAUAUCAAAAGAAGAAUUUUCCAGGGGUACACAUUGUCCUCUUUAAUAUUUGUCUUAUGACUGAUCCCCCUCAGUUUAGUAUUAAAGAAGGCAAAGGCAUAGUAUCAGUCUAGAAAUAGUAAUGGAAACAUUUACCAUUUGCUCAACAUGGAUGAUCUGAAGCUUUUUAGUAAGAAUGAAAAAGAGGUAGAUUCCUUAAUACAGACUGUAAGACUCUUGGGCAAAGAUACAGGCACGGAAUUUGGUAUAGAUAAGUGUGGAAUAUUAGUCAUGAGAUGGGGACAUGUAGACAACAGUGAAGGCAUCUAAUUACCAUAUGGCCAAACAUUAAAAUCAUUGAAAAGAAAGAAUUAUAAGUAUCUAGGAGUAUUAGAAUCUGACAGAGUACUAACAACAGAUAUGAAAACGAAAAUUGAGAAGGAAUACAUCAGAAAGGUGAGGAAUCUAAAGAAGUCAAAGUGAAAUAGUUCGAAUCUAAUGAAGGCAGUACAUACUUGGACAGUAUCAUUACUUAGCUACUCAGCUGCUUUUGUAGAUUGGACAAAAACUGAAUUAGCAAAGAUAGACAGAAGAACUAGGAAGAAAUUCAAUAUGAAUGGAGGACUCCACCCAAGGGCAGGAGUAGCAAGAUUAUACUUACCUAGAAAGGAAGGCGGAAGAGGGCUACGAUCAGUAGAAGACUGAGCGGAGUUAGCUACAGUGGAUAUAGGCUCCUAUGUUGGUAAUAGCGAAGAAAGUUUAUUCAAAGCUGCUAGAGUUACAGCAAUACAUAGCGAAACCAAAACCCCAAAUGAAGCUAAAAAUCAGAAAAAAACAGAAGUCAUCUGACUGGCAGGAGAAGGCGUUGCAUGCUAGAUUCUCAAAAAUAGUUGCAACAAAUAGCAGUGGUGAGACAUGGUUGUGGUUGCAGAAAGGAAAACUGAAGAGAGAGACAGAAAGUUUGUUAGUAGCUGCACAAUAUCGAGCAUUAAGGACUAAUUGGAUAAAAGGCAAGAUAAACAAAAACCAAGUAUAUUCCCUAUGUAGAUUAUGCAAAUUAAAAGUGUAAAGUGUUACUCUUAUAGUAAGUAAAUGUAGACUGCUAGCGCAGAAAGAAUACAAGAAAAGACAUGACAAUCUAAGGAGAGUAAUCCACUGGGAGCUAUGUAGAAAGCUAGGAUUUGAACAUACUGAUAAAUGGUAUGAACGCGAAGCUGGAAAAGUACUAGAAAGUAACAAAUACAAGAUGCUGUGGGACUUAAACGUUCAGACUGACAGAGUAAUAGAAGCUAGAAGGCAUGAUUUGGUAGUAGUAGAUAAAGAUAAUAGAAAGUACCGCAUAAUUAACCUCACACAAAUGAUGACAAAUUUAAUAUGAGAAGUAUAGGAAAAAUAGCAAAGUACCAGAGCCUAGCUGUUGAAUUACAGAGACUGUGGAAAGUGCGGGUAAAAUGUUUCCUUGUAGUUAUAGGCGCAUUGGUAGCUAUUCCUAAAGAUCUGAACAGAUGGAUAGAGGAAAUAGGCAUAAAAUCCUGUUUAGUACAGCUGCAGAAAACAGUGUUAUUAGGGACAGCUAGAAUACUUAGAAGGGUUCUUGACAUCUAAGGUUACUUACUGUAUGUAACCCAGUAGGAGGGUUCUUGGCAUCUAAGUCUACUUGUUCUAGUCCGAUGUUAGGCAUUUCCUCUUUUCUAACAGUCUAAUCUGUUGCGUGUAUAUGAAAAUAAUAAUAAUAAUAAUAAUAAUAAUAAUAAUAAUAAUAAUAAUAAUAAUAAUAAUAAUAAUGAGAAGAAGAAGAAGAAGAAGAAGAAGAAGAAGAAGAAGAAGAAGAAGAAGAAGAAGAAGAAGAAGAAGAAGAAGAAGAAGAAGAAGAAGAAAGGUAAACCUCGAACAAAAAUAAAGUCUAUAGAUAAAUUUAAAUAACAUUCCUACAAAAGCAGUAAGUAUAGUUAUUUAGAACAUUCAAGCCGUAGCACUAUCUUUUAUUAAGUGUGAUAAACAUUUUAAAAUUAUUUUUGUAAAAACACAAGCAUAGGUGCUAUCGCAAACCAAGUGCAUCGAGAAAUUUGAAAAUUUAUCGGGAGUAAGAAUGGAUUCCAUCGUAGAUAUUAGUCUCAGACAGGUAGAAUAGUAUACACACAGAUAUAAUUACUUGCAGAUUGCAUGCCUCAUAUCUAAACCCAUUACACUACAUAUGAGCAUGAUCAUUGUUAAACGUAUAGUUCUCUAAACCUUAGAUUAUUUUCAGAUUUUAACCACAAUAAGUAUUUUCCUGAUAAUAGGUUAAGUUUGGCUCCAUGCGUCUCAAUAAAAUUUAAUUUAUCUAAAGUUACAUCCUGUGGUGAUACAAUAUUUGUAAUAUUAAAAUCUAUUACGUUCAAUAUUAUGAAAAAGCAUUCACAGCAAUAUACACAGCAUAUACACUAUAUACAGGAGUCACAAUUUCAUUAACGCAGAAAACAUCGGUAACUUAUAGAUUAACUAUUAGUGAUACAUUUGGUUUUGAAUAUUAGGCAACCAAGCAUCACUGAGAUAAAUCGGGCUACAAGAAUAUAAUUUAAAAGAGCGCACUACUAUAAAUGCUAUGCACAUACUGAUUAUUCAGCAUAAUAUCGUGUAAGCUGAUAUUUACAUAAUACUGUUGGCUUUUGGAAAUUGUGAAUUAAAAAUGUUAUAUAAAAGUUAACAUGGUGUUUUGAUUGCAGAAAUGUUGAAUGAUUCAUGAAACAGAUAGUGCAAAAUUCCGAAAUCUUACUGAUCCUGGUAUGUAAAUAAAAGCAACUGUAUUACUGGUAAAAGUAACGUUCAUGAGUAGAAUACAACGCGCGUGUUCCCGUUCGUGAAACAUUCUACUCGUGAACGAGUAGGCGUUCGCAGGCGUUUUUGAGAGCAAAAAUCAAAAGUAUAACUAUAUAAAGACAAGGAGAUGCUAAAGAAAAAUACAUUUUACUACAAUAGUUUUCUGAUUCUUUCCCUGUACCAGAGUUGAUGAAUUUGUGUUCAUUUCAAACACUAUUUGCUCCAGGAAAUGUCGUCAUGAACUGUCCGGAAUAUGUACGAAAGGUAAGAUAAGGUAACAUCUUAUUUCACUUUUCUCACCUGAUCUCAGAGCAAGUGACUGUCUUAACUUCUAAAGUUUUAAUUUCAUAUAUCAUAAUCGUCGUUAUGCAAUCGACUACACGAAUCCUUCCUUUGUAAGUUUCGCUAUUUGUAACGGCUUAACUAAACAGCUGAUAAAAAUCCUUAUUUUCAAUAUUAAAUCGACAUUCCAGCAAUCAUCUUAUUGUGUAAAAAUAUGGCACUGAAACUGAUCUCUAAAAAUAUUCAUUUAUAUUUACACUGCCAACGUUGAAACGGAAUGUCUAUCGGCCAGACUGUCUGGGAAAUAUUAGCACUAUGUCCAAUUUUACUGCCAAUUGUUCGAUUUCCGAAAACAUUUCCUCGAAUCGUUCGUCUGUUUUUGUCUGUGACAUACUCAAGAGCUUCGGGACAUGGUUGUUCGUUUUCAUUUUAUGAAUAUGAACAUCUUGCAGAGCUUGUGUUACAGAUUUCCGUAAAUUAUAAUAAAAUUAUAAUGAAAUUAUAAUAGAGAUGGAAAAGACGCUGUAUUUAAUAGAGUGUCCAAGUAAAAGCUUUUCAGAGCAGUUUCCUGAAGCUAUAGUGGCGAGUUAACAUAAUUUAUUUAAAUAUUUAAAUGUUUUCAAAGUUAAUGGAAAAAAUUUAAUAAUAAUAUAUUUUGCAAUACAACAUGUUUAACAUGAUAUACACUCAGCAUAAGACAAAUCCUUCGGAACUCCCGGGAAAAAAAUAGUGAUUGUUUUCAAUGUCCCUAUAAACCUCCGCAUUUCAGAAGCAGGUCAUUCAUAACGAUAUUUACUUUAUCAUGUGAUAUUUUUGAUAUUUGCGCUUUAUUUUAUCCUACAAUCUUCUUUCCUUUGAAACCAUUUUACAGCAACCAUCAUAACAUUCACUAAGUAUCAUUUUACUGAAUUUAACUCAGAUUUUGUAAACAGAUCAAUGCUUGCAUUUGAAGUGUAGUUAGCAGCUAAUUCACUUAAUGUUUCAAGGAAAUAUGUCCGGCCUUCCAGCUGCACAAUGCCCAACUCUUCUAAUUCGUCAUUGCUUAAAGUUACUCUUUUCACCGCAACAAUUUAAUGUAGGUAAUUUAUUGUACUGUUGUACCAUACACAAAACUGGAACAUCGCCAUACUUUAAGAUCUUUAUUACACGGUUCCAAUUUUUAAUCUCCUCACACUCGAUAAGAAAACCUGGUCCAGAGAGGCAACUUAUCCAUUACCCACAGAUAAAAUAAUGUAGCAUGCGACACACCGCACGCAUUUAGAGUACACAAACUUUUUCAAUAACGAAACUUAUUACUUAGUUUUCAUAUACAGUAUUCAAACGAUAUUGCGGCCGCUACGACUAUAACUUCUGUUUUUACUACUCAUAAUGGGAGUAGUAAAAAUCAAUGAUAACAUCAUAAGGACAGACAGCAAUGUGUGUGCAGAUUUACAUAAGGGAUAGGGAGAAAGACAUCGAAAAGAGAGUGAAAUGCGAUAAAAGAUACAUAGUAUACAAAGUAUUUGAUAUGGAUUAUGUAGUCCUCCUGAUACUGAAGUCUGGCUAGGACCGAAUAAGUAACCCCACAGAUCUAGGAUUACCCUGACUACGAAAGGCACGGUCUCUCUUUCUUUCUCUCUCUCUCUUUUCUCUCUCACUCUCUCUCUCUCUCUCUCUCUCUUUCCCUUGCCCUCCAAGCACAUAGUUAGAGUAGAGCCAUUCUCUCUAGUCAUUUUCCCCCAGUUACCCAUCUUGUCACAAAUUCACUGGGAGGUAGCACUUCCCUCUCUAUCUUCCCCUUCCUUUCUAAGUGGAACUUUAAAAAGACGAUAGACCGAAGAAGAAAAACUUCUUUCUUUAAUCAUUUCAGCCUCGUCCACUACACAACCUCUUUCGUCAUGACAGAGAAACAACGCCUACCCUGCAUUGUUAAAGCUGGGCGCUGGUGCGAUCGCCACAAUGGAUUCGGCUGAUAGUCGGAUUCUUCUCACACGCGAUAACAUGUGUUCGACAUUAUUCUACUAGUCAGCAAUACUCGGCUACUGUAUGAAUGCAUGUAGAACGGUUUCGUCGUUCUGCGUGUAUCUCGGACAGUCCCACCAGACAAAACAUCCGUUCCCGUAGAGUUUAUCUUGAAUUGGCUAUGUAACUCAGUAGCACUGCCAGGUUAGGGGUUGCUGGAAGUUAUCCGUGAGAGUAGGGUCCCGAAAGACCUCCGAAACAGACCAGCUAGCUUAUCAUCGUCGACGUCUAGAGUUUCCUCGGGAACGUCAUCGCUCUUACACACCGUUAGAUUUCUAUAUAUUGCUACCGUCGAACUUCCACUGACCGUAUUGCCCGGUUGGUAGACAGCAGUGAGCAGUUGUGAGGCGCCUAAUCUUAGUAUUUUUGAUACAAUUCUAGUUGUUAUGACACAAAACAUUGUUUAUUGUCAUCCAAUCAGUGGACACGAUUCUAUCAUGUGAGGGUUUUUCGCUCCGACAUCGUUUAUUAUUUAGCUUACGUCGAUUCGUCCGAGGGACACUUUAAGGACUCUACCAGAUGACGUUAGAUAUACAUCGACUCAUUGUUGUGGAUUUAUAUUUUUUGCCUUAGCACACUUAUUGUGGUGCAGAUGGUUCACUUUGCAUCGUAGACAAUUGAAGUUACAGUUCACUGUUUUGCACUUCGGUUUGGAAUUGUUACAAUGUUUAAUUCGCUCGUUUAAAAAGUUAUUAUCUUAGCCCAAUAUCAUUAUUCGUCUUGCGUUAUAACAAUUUUCUUGACCCAGGAUUGCAGCUCCGUCAAGGAGGUGAACUGCGGAAAAGUGUGUCUUAUAAAAGGAGACCAUAUCAGCUCACCAUCCAGGAAAAUCAGUAAGUGGUGUAGCCUCAGUAUGUAUCUGCGCAUUUGUAGCCAUAGCAUGCUAAGACCGCCGUCCAGAGGGUUCUGGAGACAGACGGACCGCAUGACUUGUUGAACGCGUCCUUUCCACAGGAAGCAGAGAAGUAAACAAACCUAUCCGUCCAAACGUUGACUGGGACAAGUUACUAAAUCUAAUCGAUAAGUUAUUAAAGAGGUGAUCGGCGCUGUCGCCACCUCUGCUCAACCUUUCAGGGAUAAUUUCCUCUUGGCCCAUUUCAGAGUGAGACUGACCACCGUACUUGUAACCUCAACACAGUUCUUGUCUACCAGGAGGUUUGGGACAAACCAUACACCGAGAAAUUUCAUUGUUUCAUCUGUCCUUCGACUUAUAGACUUAUAUUAUGUUGUUCGUUGGCAUAGACUUGCCUCUCUAGUUGGCGAGCCGAACCAACUUAUUCGGGUUUAUCGCAAAGUGCAGCUGGAAGACGGCACAUAUUUACUUGGAGCCGAAUUGUGGUUUUGUUGCCACGUUAUGCUUCCACCACCCGAGCCCAUCGGACGGCUUCCUUUUCCUCAUGAUUUAGCACGCGAGUUCUAGCUCUAACAAUGCAGCCUUUGUGCUUUGCAUUGAAGAAAUUGUCGAUGGCCUUUCUAGCCGCUUGCACGUUUGUCGCGAUGCCAUUUCUAAUUGUCUCUUCUAACUAGCUAUUCCUCUGAUAUAUUUCUCUCUAUCAUUUACCAUUUACUAAAUGAUAUUGAUUCAUUUUUAAUUGCCCUCUUCAGGGUUCCCCACCACCUGUUAUUGAUGAUUGCUCCCGUCAGAUGUCUCUUAGCUACCGCUUAACUAGCUCGCUAAUCUGGUCUCUGUAGUGUGUAGGCACCGGAAAGAUGCGUUUAACUUCCAGUAGCCGGAUUUCUGUCCAUGAGACUUAAGGUGACUGUGAGGUUCUUAAAGUGACUGUGAGGUUCUUAAGGCGACUGUGUAGGCCACCAGUUUGAAAUAGGGACACCCUAACGUAUCUCUAUCAGUUAACCUAACAAAUACUCUAAGUACGAUCUGGAAAAGUCAUCAUGUUUGCUCAAAGUCUACAAUGGCAUGUUUGGGGCAUCCGGCCGGUAUCUGUCAGAUAGCCAGAUACGUCUAAGCACGUUUUUGAGGCUUUUACAUCCCCCUCUAUGGGUUAACCUUACACAAUCCAAUCGGGCGCCCGAAAUACUACUCCUAUCCCCUACUAGAUCUAACGAGCAGGAUGUUCUUAGGAAGGUUUCUAGACGUGUAAAGUAAUGUGGUCAUCCAUCCCCUUCAGGUGCAUAGAAAGCAGCUAGACUGAAGACACCGAAAGAAACUUAAUAUUGACAAAAUUAUUUCAGCUGGUGCUGUCCCAUGGUUGUAAAUAUACACCGCUAUCAUAAUCUAAAGUUCUUUCAAAUGCGUAUAUAAUUUUAGUUCUUGCAUGGUUCGCUAACGUACAAAUCAGUAGAUGUUUUAUUUAGAAAUUUUUAGAUAGAUAUAAGCAAUUUUAGCUUAGCAGAAAAUAUUCAGGUUAUUGAUUUGACGAGAGCACCAGGUCAGUUUGAAGAAUCUUGUUUGGCGAGACACUGGCAUUCAGAAUGUCAUUCUUAUUUGUUAAGAAACAAGCGUCUUUGAGCAGUUUCUAUAUGACAAAAUAUUACUACUACUGCUGUUGUGUGUUUGUAUAUACAUUAUAGAUGAAAAUCACGACGGUGUUUUAACAACAACAACGACGACGACGACGACGACAACAACAACAGCAACAAUAAUAAAGUUACUGAAAUCAGCAAAUUAAUUUUCUUUCGCCCUUGUGCUUCGUAUUUCUACUUUCUAACUUGAAAUUACACCAGUGUUGACUUUUGUCUUCCAUUAUUAAUAAGUCGAUAAAUUAAAUAUAAGCAAUGCACUGGAGUAAAUUCAAUUUAGUAUAUAUAGAAAUAUGUCGUCUACCGCUAAUGACAGAAAUCAUUAUUGGAAAGUAUGAUACAAGUAAACGGAUGCGUUUCUACAAUAAAAUUACUUGUAAUCAAUUUCUCAGAUUUCGUCUGCAUCAUUUGAUCUGUGAAAACUGAAAUGUCUUAGACAUGAAGACAGAUGCGUGUCAGUUUUGCUGAUUUCCUGACAUACUAUCGAGUUAGCCAGUCAGCCAGCCAUUUUGUGUUCAGUUUGAAAUACUGCAACAAAAUUUCAGAGAAAGUGUUGAAAACGUUUCCAGCAGAUAUUUGAAAACGAAUUGAAGAAAAAAUGGCUACUAUGAGAGAUUGAAAUUAUUAUUGCCAUUGUUGCCUUUAAAACUCACGUCAGCUCUGAACAAUGAUAUAUAUGAUCAAAGACAUUCCAGGCAUGGCCAGCGUACUCAUUCUCCAAGCAUCGGUUAUCUCGGAGACAUUAUCCUAUAUGUAUUUUCGUUUUUAUGUUAGAGAGUGAUUAAAUAUAGUUUAAGAAAAUUUUACUGACAAAUCAAAUGACAAGGCAGAGGUUUACUUGUUGGUUCGGCAAUGCAACAGUUGCAUAACUAAAUAGCGAAGUAUACAUUGUGUUAACUUUGAUGAGGUGAAAACGGCGUAAUACUCACAGAAAAUAUAAAGGAUUCUAUAAAAACAUAUUUUUUGGCCAAUGAUUGCAGAGCUUCUCGUUUGAGAUUUUGAGAAAUUGACAAGACUUCAAAUCAUGUCAUUUAUUAGAUCGUUAUAGAAUGUUUAUGUAUCCAACAACUGUAUAUUUCUAAAUGAUUAGAGUACAACUGUUCUUUUUGGUUACCCACAAUUGUUUCAUGAUAAAUAUUUCGCAAGUCAUGAAAUCAUUGCCUACAGUUUGAUAGACCUUCUUAUAAAAGAUCAAUAGAUAUAUGCCAAUUUUGAAUGUUUUAUAUUUCAUUAAAGGGCAUCUUUUCUUAUCAUUUGAGUAUAGAGGGUGAACAAGAUGUGUGUUCUUGAUAUACGUUGCCACUGGCUUGAUAAUUUUUAUCUCAUUUGAAAGUCAUGUAUUAACAUGAAUAUUAUUUUGAGAUCGUUUGAGAAAACGUUACACAAUCUGUGUAUAGUAAGAGUUUACGGUCAUUAGAACCUUAAUAUAAUGGUGUGAAUGGUUUAAUGAGCACCAUGUUGUCCUUGUUACUUCUAUUGAAACAUAGAUCCCUUUUUACAAUGUUAGGCAAUAGUUUUUACGUAAGAAUGAUGAUGUAGCGGAACUAGUGAGGGUAGCAGUUAAAGUCUUAAAGUGUUUGUUCCCCUCCCCCCCCACAUAAAACUGAAUAUCAAUAGAGAUAUUCUUUUCAUCUCUUCGCGAUCGUUAAACUUUUUCUUAGUAAUUCACUGGAUUUAGUUAAAAUCACUAUAAACAAUGGUUGGUAAUGAGACUUUUAUGAAGCCUCAGAUCAGAAUAAAAAAAGCUCAGACUCAAACAGAAAGCAUCAUAAUAUAAAGAUAUCGAGUUUCAAAAGAAAUAUAGCUCUGCGUAAUUUAUUUUACGUAGAGAACACAAUAAUUACACUUCUUCAGUUCCUUUUGAAAGGGCAUAGAUUAACUCUUUUCGAGGUUCCCGCAUAGCACAUUCUAAAGUAUUUCUAAUAAUAGAUUGAUUUGUAAGUAAUCUAUCUUUUAUGGUCUUUGCUUUUAAAUAAUUAGUGUUUCUUGUUUUGACAAAGAUCAUUGCAAAGAAUAUUCUUUGAAACCAUACUGAAAACUGUUGCAUGAUAUUUAGAUUAGUCAUAAAAAUUAAAUAAAUGUAUAUACGUGUUUCUUUUAACUUAUACGCCUGAAGUUAAACAGUAACUUCUCUAUUGAUUAUUAAGACCUUUAGAUUAUUUUCUGACACAAUGGAUGGAAAAUGAAUUGCUCGUGGCAUGACAAACGUACAUACAGUGGGCUCAUAAGCGAUCUUUGGGCAUGAUAUCUUAAAUUUAGCUAUAAUCUCUCUUCACUGAAACGAAACUCUGUUGUCUGAAUACUGAGUUCCAUUAAGAAAUUCAGAUUAUAAAUCUUAACUCUUCACUAUUUGUGAUCUUGCCUUUCUUCCAAGAUAAACAUCAUUAAUAUUUUUAGUAAAUAGUUUCAUUUCUUGAAUCAAUUACUUGUAAUACAAUAAUCUUCAGUAAUUCUUUUUUAAUAAAGAAACAAAGGAGGUUCUGUAUUCUGUAUUAAAUAUAACGUAAGCUGAAAUGCUCUGAUCGAAGUUCAACUUCCAGUAAAUUCACCGAAAGAAUAGUAGCCUGUGUUUGAUUCUCUGAUUGAUGAUCACUUUAUACAUUUCCAUGGCGUCAUCAGCUUUGUUGAUUUUCGAUUCACUUUAGAAAUAAAGAAGUAAAGGCAUCAAGAUGUUUUAAUAUCAUUGUAGAAGCUGUUUCCCGUGAAAGUCAUGUUUUGUGUAAGUUUAAGUAUUUUGUAGCAAGUUGUCACAGAAAUUUCCAGAGCCAGUGUUAAUUCUCUUUAAAUCGUUUCCAAAACACUUGAACAUGAGUGAUAUAUGCUGAUAGUAUGACUAAUACAAAGAACAAAGGAAAAUAUACUUACCUUAAUAAAAACAGGAAAAUUUUCUUUCAAUAAUUUCUAGAGACCAGUUUAUCGUCCUGUGUGGAAGAAGAAUUAUUGUUUGCGAAUCCAUUUUUCUAGAGGAAUAUUUCUUUUACGCAAGGUAAAUUUGACAGCAAUGUAAACUCCAAUAACUCUUCUAUUUUUGGCAGCAACAGUAUCUAACAUUGUAUGUACAGUCUACGAUAUCAUGUUUAUUCAAAUCAAAAUAUCUAACAACUAUAUCCAAAAUUUUGCUAACUUAAAUGUCUCUACCUUCAUAAAUUGUGACAGAAAAUUUUAUGCAUUACAGAUAUCCGUUAUUACUAUCUCUCAUGAAAGUCUAUUUUUAACCUGAAUAACAUACGAAAGUUUCAUUCUAUCCAUUCAUAACUUUUCAGCAAUCUUACUGUCCGGAAAUGCUCGCAUACAUAUCGUUUGCAUUGAAAAUGUUAUAUUCUACAAACGAUCCAACAAUAAGCAAUUCACAUUUGGCUGUUUGUUCACUCCGUUGACUCUUUCGACUAUAAAUUGAGAAAUAUCUACACAAGAUUUAGCCACAUUAAAUCAUUUCUUUUAUUUGACUGAAGUUUUGCUUCAUUUGUAUGGAUUUAUUUAUUUGCACAUCUCAGGGUAAUGGUGCAAAGUUUACAGUAGCUAACUUCUUUAUUAUUUUUAUCUCCCUGAAUCCAAUCCUUAAAGUCAGGAUUUUACAGUCAUUCAACCAUGAAUUACUUUGAACUUAUAAUCUAAGAGCUUUAACCCAAUACCAUAUUCCCUCUAACAAUUUGUCUCUAUAUACCCAUGUAAGAAAAUAUUUGAUACUAUAUUGAACGGGUGUGGAAGCAGAUUCCUAGUAAUUUCCCUAUUUUUUUAUAUAAAAGUAAAACAAUCAAAAAUCCUUCCACCAAAAUAAUAUUUUUCCGUGUAAUGAAUUUAUAUCUGUUUUUCUCGAUAUAUCAUUUGUUUUCUGAAGUGCUAUUGUGUGUUAAGCAUUGCAUUCAGUUAUAGGUUUUUAAAGGCACUUUUGAAGUGAUCGUUCAGUUUUUAAUAAUGGUAGUUUCAUAACAUACACAUACGCACACACGCUCACACACAUUGUGUGGUAAGAGGCUUGCCUCCCAACCACAUGGUUCCGAGUUCAGGCCCACUAUGUGGCACCUUGAACAAAGUGUCUUCUAUAUAGGCUCGGGCUGACCAAACCUUGUGAGUGGAUAUGGUAGACGGAAACUAAAAGAAGCUCGUCGUAUGUAUAUACACACAAACAUGUAUAUAUAUAUAUAUAUAUAUAUAUAUAUAUAUAUAUAUAUAUAUACGUGCACAAAGAUACACACACACUCUCUCUCUCUCUCUCACACAUACACACACACACAUAUAUAUAUAUUUAUAUAUAUAUGUAGUAGGUAUGUAUAUAUAUAUCUAUGUGUGCGUGUCUUUGCGUCUGUGUUUGUGCCCCCAACAGCGCUUGACAACCAGUGCUGGUAUAUUUAUGUUCCCGUAACUUAGCAGUUCGGCUAAAAAACCCUUCAAGGUUGUGUUCCUCAUGACCGCAGUCAAAUGACUGACACAAGUAAAAAAUGUAAAUGAAUAAUAUAGCAACAACAACUCUUCCUUUACCUAGCAUCAGGAGUAUUCAAGUCCAUUGUUUUCCGGAUAGCAAGUGGAAUUUGCUUAAACAACUCUACUGAGAAUCGAAACGUGGCAGAAGUUCAGAGCAGCACAUGUUUCAUGAUUCUUUGAAACUAAACUGUCAUACACGUGUUUCUUAAAUGUAUUAAGCGUCUGUCUUCGGAGUGACCGCUGGGUAGUUACCUUGCCUCCCUAGUAAUAAGGCAAAUAUGUGUUUUCAAUCCGCUUUGUCCUGUUAUGCAAUUUAACAUUUCCUCUUUGUAUUCAAUAUAUCCAACAUCCUUCUUUAAUAACUAUACUUAUCAAUAGCCAUCUCAACUCACAAAAGAGACAGCAAGAUAAAAAAUAUAUACAUAAUGAUAACAGCGUUUUAAAUAAUUAGAUACACUAACAGGCGAAGUUAACAAUGGAAGUACUACAUUGGAUUGCUGACCCAUUCUCCGAUCUCAUAACUACGCUAAAUCAGGCUAAGAGUCGGUCAAUUAUUUUUAGAUUUUGAAACUCAAGAAUAAACUCCAGUAAUUUUUCCCAACCUUAUCGACAACUUGAUAAGUUGCCAUUACUCUUCUUAUGCUUUCUCUGACUCUAAAUAAAGUGAAUCUAUUUUUAUCAUCGACUAAGAAAUGGUAAAAUUAAUGUAGAAAACACUGGUAGGAAUAAAGAUUUUAGACAAUUUUAUUUUCUCAUUUUGUUCUAUUUCUACAAUUCGCUUUUUAUAUUCAGUACAUCGUAGAGCUCAGUGAAUAUGAAAACGAGCCAAUACAUUGAAUGUUUGUGAUUGCUAAUAAAUAAAUUUUAAAGGACAGAAAGCUGGCAGAAACAGCGCAUUACUGCCAUGCAGUAUUUUGGUUGCACCCUCAGUCUACUAAGUUCAAGUUCUCAACCUAUCUGUACUUAUCCCAGUUAUGAAACCAACAUAUACAACGGCUUAAUUCUAGCUUAAGCUUUUCCUUGAAAACAAACAUAAGAAAAAUCAACUAGAUAUUUAACAACUCUAAGUUAUUCGAAUAAAUGCCACUUUUAUUCUAUCUUUUUGCUGCAAGCAUAUGUAGCAAGCAGCAGCUCCUUCCCAGAUGUCGGAGCAAUACGCCAUUGUGAAUCCUAACCUGAUAUUUGCAGAGAGUAUUUGCUGUCGGGCAGCAGGAAAUAUUUACUGGUUCUGCAGAAGAAGGCUAAACUUUCUGAUUAGUUUUAGGUAUGUUGAGGAUGUGCGCAUGUUAGGAGAGACCCUUUAUAAUUGUAAUGUCUACAGUAUGCAGUAGCUUGAAGAUUUCGGUUGUGGCUUGUUAAAUUUAAUAGCCGGGAUAUUUUGUUGUUUUUGAUAUGGUGAUUCUGUGCUGUUGAAGAAUGAACUGUUUAAAAAUGAACAUUUUAAAGAAUAUUUUCGGUGGCUUUGUAAACAGAAUAAAUGAAUUGCAAAUAGUCUUUAGACUGUAUGUAGAUGAUGCUUGAGUACGAAACUUUAGUUGGAAUGCAGAACCUUAUCAUCUACAUAGGCAUGAACACAGUCAGAAAUAAAGGUAUGUAGUUUAAUGUAGCGUAUAGUAGAUUUAUGUCACGAUAGAAUGUGUGCAAUAGAUGGAUUACAGAAUACAUCUUGUUCUUUUGGAUUCAUAAUUUUUGAUAUAUACAGACAUUUCUUCAUAUUCUCUUCGCUGCUAUUGAGAGAGUAAAAUUUUGUAGUUUACUUCGUUACAAAUUAUUGCAAGAGAAAUUUGAAAUUUCAGUACUAUUAAUGUUCUAAUAUUUGAACUUAGGAAUAGAAAUAUAUGUGGAAACUGGAAUACCUGAAACGAUCAGAGAAGUAGCAAACAGUAACAUUAUUCAGAAUGGAAAAUGAUUAAUGCUUCUUGUGUAAGAUUUGUUACUUAUUGCAUUAUUUACAUUAUUUACAUUUGACGGAUAUUUGUUCUCAUCUUGUUUGUUAACACAACGUUUCGGCUGAUAUACGUUCCAGCCUUCAUCAGGUGUCUUGGGGAAAUUUCAAACCUGGGUUCUCAUUCUUAAGGUAUUUUUCGAUGUUAUUAUUAUUAUUAUUAUUAUUAUUAUUAUUAUUAUUAUUAUUAUUAUUAUUAUUCAGGUCACUGCUUGGAACUGAACUCGGAAUCUUGGGGUUAGUAGCCCGUGCCCAUAACCCUAUGAUUCCGACUUCGAUUCCGAGCAGUGACCUGAAUAAUAAUAAUAAUAAUAAUAAUAAUAAUAAUAAUAAUAAUAAUAAUAAUAAUAAUAACAACAUCGAAAUAUCUUAGGAAUGAGAACCCAGGUUCGAAAUUUCCCCAAGACACCUGAUGAAGGCUGGCGGGUAUAUCAGUCGAAACGUUGUGUUAACAACAAACAAGAGGUCAAAUAUCCGUCAAAUGUAAAUAAUGUAAAUAAUGUACAUAAUUGCUCAUCUCUUAAAUAUAGAACUGUAUUGUUACUUAUUAGUCAAGGGAUUAUAAUUACGUGUAAUCUUGUCAUGGUCAUAUACAUACGUACAUACACGUAAAUAUACAUGCAUACAUAUAUACAUACAUAAAUAUGUGUCCAUGCGUGUCUAUGUGAGUGUGGUGGGGUAAAGCAAACAGAAAAAGCAACUGCGUGAGUGACAGAACUGCAGCUAUCCCCGCCUAUGAUAAACCUUCCGUGUGCAGUCAAAAUGAGGCAACUACAGAAUCAUCGGGAUUUUAUUGUGCCAGAUAUGUAUGUUAUUCUGAUUACCGCAAGAAAAGAAGUUCUAGUCUUGAUCUGUACCAGGUUCACAUAAGAGUAAGAGUGAUCUGCGCCGGUCGACUAGCUUCAUUGUCAUAUUGUUGACGUCUUAUUAUUUAGCAGUUUCAAGAUAGGACAAGGCGAGCCAAGGCGGGGGAAAGCAGGUCAAAGCUAGCCAAAGCGGCUCAGUGCAAGACAAGGCGACUAGAGAGGUAUCAGGAAUGGAAUAGUCACUUAGAACAAUCUUUACGCUACACCAUAAACUGAGUUAUGCAUUCCAUAGUGACAUUGUCCGCAUGCAGACAGCUCGUUUACUUGCUUCAGUCACUACAUAGGUGAAAGAUGGUUAUCAGAUGGGAAGUAGUGGCACAUGAGAUGCCCUGAAAAGAAACUGACGAAACCCGGGAUAUGGGCACUAUGCAUCUCUGAUAUUUCAUAUUCUCAAACGAUGGAGCUUGUAUGUGGUCUUUUGAGCUGUUGAAAAUAGUAAUAAAAUUCCCACUAUUCCCGUUUUACUAAACCUAUUCUAAACAAAAUGAUGACUAAGAUUACUUUGGAUAAUAUCAGAUAUACAUUUGAUCGUUGAUAGGUCUACUAGUAGACCAGGGUUUAUCUGAAACUAAAUAAGGACAACAUCUAAGUAAUAUGAGAUCAAUCUGAUCAAUGGAGUAUUAGAAACUGUUGACUGCUGCUUUUAGUAUACCUCUGGUGCCAACAUUGCUUUUCUUCUGGGGCUGGUAGAAUAAAUUCCGAUACUGUAUUUUCGUUGAUUCAAUCUACCAACAACAAGGUAACUUUAUGUCAAUGUAAAAACCAAUUAUAGGAUCAGUUGUAUUAAUUUAGUAGUAAAUAUAAAGAAAAUAUAUGUUUAGCGUUUGUGAAUGAGCCUAGAUUCUUCGAAUUCGAAGAGUAAGAAAAUACGAUCUUUAAUUCGUUUUGAUAGAGCAAUUGUUUUGAAAAAAAUUUCCGAAGUUAUAGAUCAUGUAAAGAAUACCUCGUACAGAGAAUUCUAAAACAAAUUCCUUUUCCGUUAGAAGAAAAAGCUAAUAGGAAUAUAUUCCAGUAUCAUCACAGAAGUUUCUAACGAAGAUAAAUGGGUCUUCAGAACGUAGCAUCUUAAAAAAGAAAGCAACAAACUGGACCAUUGACCUCUGAAGGAAAUUGUUUCAUUCUUCUAAUAUUGGGUGUGUUUUAUGCAUAUGUAUAUAUAUAGAUAGAUCUUCAGUCAAGUGGCUAUUUAAAGCUUCUACAUCCGGAUCAAUUUCCUUACCGCUGCAUGUUCUAACCUUUCUUCCAUUUCCCAUCAUCCAAAAAGUUAUCUUUUAGGCUCGCACUUGUACAGAACUGCAGCAAAAACUGAAUGUUAGUAACAGCUUGCUAUUAAUAAGUGUCACUACCAAUCUCAGUGAUUUAUCUAUACACUUCUCUGGAGAUAAAUAGAUCUUCUGAUAAUUUCCUACAGUAGAGAGUGGCAAUGGUGUAUACAAACAGACGCAUACGUUUAUAAAAACACUUGUCAACACAUACGCAUACACGCACACAUAAUACAAAUAUGCACACAUAUAUGCACACACAUACGAAAUGAAUGAUAAGGUAUAUCUUCAGUCUCAUUUAAUUUAACAGGCUUAACAGAUAGGUUUUUAAUGGCAUUUUAUAUACAUUAUUCAGUAUAGAUCGAUAAACAUGGUUUAUGGAUUGCAUUUAAUAUUCCAUUCAACUAACUAUAUUUAACUUUAUGUUGCUCAACGUUCGUCUAUUUUAUUAAACUCCAUUAUACUAUACUGUUGUAAUCUACAAUCAUUUCUAGUCUUGAAUAGAAGGUUUAAUCCUAGAUAGUGAGAAUUUGUAUUGGAACAAAUACAAAAUUUCCGAAAAGCCAAGACUGUGAGUUAAACUCAGUCAUCAGUUGGGAACGUUGAAUAUAUUUACUAUGUUAAUACUUAAUUAAUUUUAAUUCUAGCUUCCCGAAAAUAGACAUGCAAAUAAGAAAAAACAGGCCAGUUGAAUCUGCGUUAUACUUUCCUUCCAAACGGAAAGCCAUCUCAUUUGAGUUAUGUCAUUAAUAACCAAGAGAAAGAUAUGAUCACAACAUAAUUCAUUCCCCAUCAUUUAAAAUGUAUGAAUCUUUGUUUAGUUUAAUGGAAACCAGCAUUUGCAAAUCAUAGCAGAAACCAAAGUAAUUAAGUAAUAUCCUGAGGUAUCAGAUAUCAACAUUUAUACCAACAUAUUCACACCUACAAAUAUGUAUAUGUAAGUAUGUAUGUGUAUGAAUGCUUCUAUUAUUUAUAUACAUGUAUGUGCAUGCAUGUAUGUAUACAUGCAUGUGUGUAUUUAUGUGCUUGUUUGUGUGUGUAUACAUAUAUAUAUAUAUAUAUAUAUAUAUGUAUAUAUAUAUAUAUAUAUGUAUAUAUAUAUAUAUAUAUGUAUAUAUAUAUAUGUAUAUAUAUAUAUAUAUAUAUAUAUAUAUAUAUAUAUAUGUAUAUACAUAUAUAUAUAUAUGUACGUAUACAUGCACAUGUGUAUUUAUGUGCUUGCUUGUAUGUGUGUGUAUGCAUACAUACAUACAUACAUACAUACAUAUAUAUAUAUAUAUAUAUAUAUAUAUAUAUAUAUACUCUUACACACAAAAUAGCGUAGUCAGCUGUAAGCAAUGUAAAACCAUACAUACAUAAGAACAUGUAAACAUGUAUAUGUAUAAACUUUUACCGAUUGUAGGCCUGCAGCAUAAUACAGAUUAGAGUGGAGGGUUUUGGCAAAUACAUACACGUGUUGUGCUCUUUGCAUACAGUCAGUCAGGUUCUUGUUUCCAGCUCACUCUUUGAUAUCGUCGAUCUACAAACGUCUUUUACAACCUCUCGCUUUUUCCCCUUAACACUUCUCAAGUUUUGGCCAGUGAUUCGUGUUGUAUUGUAUGCUCAUAUAUUUGCGCUAUGUGUCCUUCCAUUUCCAUCUUUUCUAGCUCUGCAGUAUUUGUUACACUAUCCAUCUACCUUAUUCUGCACAAUCUGCAAAAGAUUCACAUCUGAAAGGCUUAUAACAUCUCCAUUGCUGUAUACAUUGUUUAAGCUUCUGCCUCUUAGAGGACAAUUGGCACAAUGCAUAAGAUUACUAGCCCCAAUUUUACAUGCAGUUAUGUCUUUUGAAGUGAAGGUCUUUCAUUGUUUUUGCCUUAGUUCUUAUUUGAGUACCUACCUGAUCUAUUAUUUGUUGCUAAAUACUUAACGUAUUUUUUUACAUAUCCAAACUUCUUUGCAUCUGUCUUAAAAUUAGCUUCUUUUUUCUUUUCUUACUGUCAACUAUUGUCUUUGAUAUUUCAGUAUUCAUAAAGACGGUGAGAUGGCAGACUCGUUACUGUGCCAGGAAAAAUGCUUAGCGGCAUUUCUUCCGACUUUACAUGCCAUUAACUAUCAGUCCUUUGAUUACAUUUGACUCACGAAAUAUAUACCCAGUAUAGAUAUUAAAUAGGUACAGUGAUAACACACAUCUUUGUUUUACAUUCCGUUUUAUCCCUGCUACUUAUAACAAUUCCUGUUCUAUUUUAUAGAUUUUGAAUAGGUACGGCGAUAACACACAUCCCUUGUCUGACAUCUUGUUUGAUCUCUACUAGUUCUAACAAUUCAUGUUCUAUUGUGAUAGUUGUCUGUAUAAUUCAUUAUAACUUAUAUUUCGGGUGAAGGUUUCAUUUACUUUCAUCUGUCGUCGAUGUGGUGGCCAUGUCUCAUACAAGGCUAACAAGGAAUUGAUAAACUAAGGAUCGUAGAUGUAAAGCAUGGUGGAUAAUUUUAAGUCACGGUUUAACAAGACUCAUUUAUCCAGUGUCUCACACGUAACCGAAUCCUUUUCAAUGUUCAAGAUGAUCUCAGAAUAUAGGAAUCAACCGGUGGUGACGUAUCAACUGCAAUUCACAACAGAAUCCACUACGUCUGAUCCCUUGAAUAUGUCCAUUUAAUUCAAAAUAAAUAUCUCCUGGAAUGAAUGUGAAUAUCCAUUUUGUUUCUUGUAAAUCCAAAAGUAGUACACUUACCGCAGAAGAGAUCCAAUAUUUUGAAAUAUUUUACACCAAGUGAACCAGAAAGUCAGAAUUACCUGCGUACAAUAAACUGCGGAUCAGAGUUAUAAAUGUUUCCGAUAAAGCUUUAAAACGAUUUAAAAUAAAGUCUACUCGUGCAAUUUCAGAAGGUCAAUCAUGCCUGCAAAGCAUAUGGAGAUUAAAUUUCUUGACGCCUUACUCCACAAAGAUCGGUUCGAGCAGGCUAGGUCCUUAAGUAGAAGUGAUUUGGGGAUUUAAGGAUAAAAUUUUCCUCUGUCAAAUCAUGUAAACCUACAGUAUUUUUAUAUCUUUUAAGUCUAGAUAGCUUCAGAACAAUUGAAUUACUCAAAAGUACUUUUUAUGUUUAUUUAACUUGCGCAUCUAUUUGCUUAUUCAUACAAAAUACAUAUGGGGUCGGUUGGUGUGUGUGUUGGCGUCUCUACCCUUCCACCGUUACCUGUUAUCUAUUAUCGUUUCAUCGCUACUUUCACGUGAUUUCUUUCUCUUGCCCUCCUUCAUAUGCCGCAUGUCGCCUUGACAUGUUUUAUAUAUAUAAACUGACACUCUACAUUAAAAAAACAUUUUCCCUCACACGUUAUGUAUGUAUGCGUACGCUCGUGUAUUGUUUACACACUUCUUGUUCUAUGUUUGUGCAUCGUUAUAGUUUUAUAUUCCCAUAACGACAUAUCGUAAGACCGUAAUCCCGCAGUCGAAAUCAACUUAUUUUUCACAUAGAAAUUUUAUCUUAUUUUUUUAUCUGCCACCCCUGUUUGAUUUGUAAACCGUUAUACAUAUUUACGCGCCUACUCAUACAUGUGUAUGCAUAUACUUCUGUGAAGUGUGUGGGCAUGCGCCUGAAUGGGUGCAUGCGUGUGUAUCUCUACAUUAGUUUUCGUUUGUGUGUAUAUAUCGUCUGCAAUAAUACUUCUCACUUUACGGGUACCUUGCUAAUCAUGAAAGUUGUUAUAUCACUUUCGGUUUUAGCUACAACUGUUACUGGACACUGCAACAUUUGUAGAAGUGCUUGGAGUAUUGAUGGUAACACCAUAAUUCAAUGAGUUGUAGGUGGUUUAGCUGAUCGAACUACAGGAAUAUUCAUCGCGGAAACCAAGGAGAAAAUUCAUUUAUUGUUUCUUUGAUGUAAUAUAGUGUUGAACAUAAUAAAACAUUGCAUAUACUUAUAGAAAUUAGAGUGAUAAUAAUCCAGUGAAGUGUCAAAUUACGAGAAGGAUAUUGACGCAAGAAUUUUCUAAAUAAUAAUAAUAGUCAAGUGAAUAAUUCUCACAAUCAUUUUUUCUUCUGGUCUUUUUACAGCAACAAUAAAAAACAAGAAAUGCUGAAAUUGUUUCUUUUGCUUCAGCUGGUUUGAGGUAAGCAUUUAAAGUUUCGGUUCAGUUAUCUAAACGUCCAAAAUAAAGUUCGGGUCAUUCCUUGAUUAAUAUAUUCCGUUGUUUUUUAUAUCUUUUUUUUUUUUCUUUUUCUUUUUUCUUUUGGUCUUUCUUAGAACUUCAGCUUAUAACAUAUUUUCGUCCAGAAAAUAAAAUAAAACACAUAUAUACAAAAAUAUUAACAUAGUUAUAAGUAUAUAUUUAAAUAUAUAAUAUCAGUAUAUAACUAUUCUACUGACUAACCAUAAAAUGUAUAUUUUAAUGCUAAAAUAUUUAAUCAAUGGAAAUGAUUUUAUAAAUCUACCAGCAUUCAGCAGAGUUACACAUAUGUACAGCUCUGACUACAUUAUAUAUAUAUAAAACAUGGAAACACUUCAUAUUUGAAGGAUAUUGUGUUAUCAUGUGGUGCUGCAUUAAAUUCAAAACUUCUCAGGAAUACUACUUGAAGAAAUAUCGUCUUCGAUUGACUGACUUGCUCUAUAUACACUUCACAAAUCUUAACGUGAUGCCUGUACCACCCUAUGAGUAAUACACAUGUAUAAAUACACAUACACUUACGCGAAGAAACAUUGACAUUGUGGUAGUAAAUCUUAUUUUAAGAAACUAGUUCUGUAUUAUCUUGUAUAAUCUUUUUUUAUGACAAUAGCCUUGAAUCUGCUAAUCUUUUUUCUAAAAUGUCAGUUGGUCUUCCAAAUACGAUGAGCACAUAAUUCUCAAAUAUAUUUAUUGACACAAUGGAAGUGUAAUAACUUCUAUUGUCAACGAAAGCUAAUUGAAUCUCUUAGCUGGCCUCUAUAUUUCCUCAUUCUAUUUUGUUCUGUAUUUUAGAUAAGGCGAAACGGAAAAGGAGACAGUUUUAUUUUCUAAAUUUUAGGUCUAGAGGAUGGGCUAUACUCAGAGCCUUCGUAAAUCCUUCGAGACCUGUGAUGCGGUUAAUGUUCUCUGUGAACUAUUGCAAAUGAACACCUUAGAGGGACACAUGGACAAGGAAGGAAAACCAGAAGGAUGUAUAGUGGUUAGUAUGGAGCUUGGUGGUAGUGUAUAAAAUGAAGGUAGUAGAGUUGGUAUGGUAAUUCCUGAGAAGAGAAGGCAAGAUCCCAGCCAGCUUCGAGAAGCAGAUGUUAUCAUAGGCGUAGUAAAAAAGACAGAGACAAGUGACUGUAUGCUAGUUAGUGAGACAGGGACUGCUGCGUGUCUGUAAGUGACCUUGUGCCAGUCGUUUGAAUGACCUGGAGUUCAAUGUAUGCAACAGGAGCACCGCCGCCCCAGGUAUAGGAACUGUUGUGAGCUACACUUGAGCUUUGUGGAGUAUCAAUAAUUUUUGUAGACUUGCGAAUAAUUUGAUGGUCUGUAGUCCCGAAAUCGAACUUUAGCUGAGAAAGUAACUUUAAUACAUAUCAGUUUGAGAAUGUUGAUGAUAUCACAAUAUAAAUCCUUCAAGUUAUAUUAUGGCAUAUAUUAAUUCUUUAUACUGGUUAGUGAUAAUCUCUAAUUAAUAUCUGCUAAUUGCAGCUUAAGCCAGGAGCAAUGUGCAACAUAACCUAAUGUGUUUUCUAUAAUGUUGAGAGUGUAAUUAUAGAUGCAAGAUAUUUCGAAUGCUGAGAAAAACAAAGUAUACAACAUACGUCAGUACACGCCAGCAUCUCCACAAGUAAAACUGAUGCUGUUGUUCUAUCGUCCUUCUCAGCUACUACUACUACUACCACCACCACCACCACCACCACUACUACUAGUACUACUACUACUACUACUACCACCACCACCACCACCACCACUUCUACUACUACUACUACUACUACUACUACUACUACUACUACUACUAGCAUUGUUGUUGCUUGGAUUACUGCUUGAGGUACUACUACUAAUACAUGGAUUCCUGUGAAUUAAAUAUGUUUAAUGAAGAGGCAAAUGAAUUUACUGCCAUCGCACCCAAAACAAUAUGUUACCCAUUCAUUAGCAAUAUCCCUUGCCUUCCAGGUAAUGCUAAACAAAUCUCAAUACAAUGGUUACUUCCUUUUCUUUCAUCAUUUUUCACAUACUGUUUUCAUAUUUUUUCCCCCAUUUAUUGAAAUCUUUUCAAACACCUUAAAUAAUAUCGUUAUAUAUUUUUCUUUGCUAGAAUUUAAUGAAGUAAUGUUUUCUUUAUUAAAUAUCUGAACACUAACUUGCUUAUUGUUUUUUACGAGGAUGGCGGCCCUGAGUUAUUAUUUUCAGCCAGUUCUAGUUUAUUAUGCUAAAAUGUCUUAUACAUUUGCUUAGUGAUUCUUCCAUCACUAAUUUGGUAAGUAUAGUGAAGUUUAUGUUUCACUGAUCAAGGCUUAAUGCAACAGAAAUAUAUCUAGAAUUGUUUUCCAUACAUAACGAAAUAAUUAAAAUAUUGUGAAUCAUGGGAUAAUAAUAAUUUCAAAUGUUGGAACAGGGCCAGAAAUUUCCGGGGCGGGGUGAGUUGAUUUCAUCGACCCCAGUGCUCAACUGGUACUUAUUUUAUCCACCCCAAAAGAAUGUAAGGCAAAAUCGACCUCGGGGAAAUCUGAAAUCAAAAUGUAAAGACGGACGAAAUGCCGCUAAGCACUUUGUCCAGCAUGGUAACGAUUCUGCCAACUAGCCGCCUUUAAAUCAUGAGAUAAUAUUGUUUUUUUCCGCGUAAUUAUAUCCUGUUAGUUCUUUUUUUUUUUAAAGCAAUGUUUUAAAUGUGUUAACGAUAACUAAACAAUGCCUGGAUUUGAAGAACCACUGCUAGGCUUUAGGAGAAAAUGUCAAUGUGCUGAUAUUCGUAUCACUAUUGCCUUUGUAUUCUCAGGAAGUAAAUGAAAGAAAUAUAUUAAAUUCUGUUUGAACACUUUACUAUGUUCUUCCGUUGAUAUUCUCGGGAGGUGCUGAACUUAAUUUAGCACUAUAUGUUAAUAAAACAUUUGUCAUUAUGCGGCGUGCACGUAUCUUACAUAUAAUGUAAUUGGAUAUUAAUCAAAGGAUCUAUGUUUAAUUUUGAUUAUGCAUUCGCAUUUUUUUCUUUUUAUCUCUGUUUUUCAGGGAUGUGUAGAAGAUUGAGACAAUUGAAGGUCGGUUUGCAUGCUUUGCGAAAUUCAGUUCAAUGCUUCAUUGAUCUGAA